CCUUUCCUCAUCAUUCCAAUACACGUCAAAACAUGAACAUACAAGAAGAGAAUUUUGGUCUAAGAACUUUGCAUGAAGAAGUUGAGAGUAGAAUGUAGCCAAGGAUGACUUGCCGGCCGGCGUUUGCUUGGUUUUGAUCAUCAUCUCGGUUACUCCGGCCCUGGCAAGCUGUUCUUGGCUACAUUUGGUUCUCUUCUUCUCAUGCGAGGCUCUUGAGACCUGCAAAACCUAGCUAGAUCCAAUGAAGCAACUCCACCAUUAGAUAUUUCAAGGUUCGUCCUUUGUGUGUUUGCUCCUGCAUGUCCCUUCCAAAGAUAUAAAUAUAUGAGCUCGCGUCUGGAUGAAUUCAAAAAGUCGCACCCGGGCGCACGAGAACGCCGUUCGGGAGCACUCACGUCAACUCACCGCAGUAGAUCAAAAUACAACAUUCACAAACAAACAGACUCUAUGUCUUUUUUGUUUUAUAAGUACAUACGUGAGUUGAAUAUUUGGCGCCUGGCGUUUUGAUUAAGAGAUUGAGAGAAGUACUUAAUUUAAUUAAGUGGUGAGAACUUGAACACAAUGUUUCUUUUCAUAUCUCCAUCGUAUUAUGACAUAGUACACAAA